rnacentral:rRNA from 1 species
UACGUAGGUGGCAAGCGUUGUCCGGAAUUACUGGGCGUAAAGCGCACGUAGGCGGCUUUCUAAGUCGGGGGUGAAAUCCUGGAGCUCAACUCCAGAACUGCCUUCGAUACUGGAGAGCUCGAGUCCGGGAGAGGUGAGUGGAACUGCGAGUGUAGAGGUGAAAUUCGUAGAUAUUCGCAAGAACACCAGUGGCGAAGGCGGCUCACUGGCCCGGUACUGACGCUGAGGUGCGAAAGCGUGGGGAGCAAACAGG